rnacentral:lncRNA from 1 species
GAUAUUGCAGCGUCUACGUUAAUUUACGGCGCAAAGAGCACCGAGAAAUGCUGUGACUAUUUUUUUUUAAUCGAAAAUUGCGCGCCACCACUUUUUCAUUUCGUUUUCGCUUCCCGUUUGGUGGCGCUUUGUUCGAAAGUGAAAACUAAACUUUCGUUUCGUUUUUAACGUUACUGUUUUCUUUCCGCUCGGCACAUCAAUUGAGACUUUGUUGGUCGCUAUUUUAGUUGGGUGAGUUACGUUCGUUCUGUUUUUAAGCCAGAAUAACAAGUGUGAGGAAGGUCCUGACGGAAAAGCGGUACACAGCAGCAGCGUUGCCAAAUCGGACGCGUCAGUCCACAAUCGAGGAAUAUAUUUUCAGAAUUGGGAGAUCGCCCAGUUCUCAAUAUCAAUAAGCAGGAGAACUCGAAUUGGUCGCUAAAAUCAUUGCUCCUUGGAAUUGCAGAGUGGAAACCAGACACAAUCCAAGAUUUGCUGCCCCUUGUGCCGUACAACUUUCUAGUGAGUGCACUGGGAAGAGUAUCGGCUGUAUCGUGUCUUCUAUUCGUACCCACACUGUAACCGAGCUCCAGGACCUGAAGUGACGCCCUGUUUCCCUGCAAUGACUGGACAUGGCUUGCAAGACAGCUGUCCCACAUCAUUCUGGUAGAAUCCUACUGGGCAGGACCGGCAGGACUGUGUGGCAUUGUUGUAGUAUGUGCCAAGAGAGCACUUGACUGUAAAGACAAAAAACAAGUUAAAAAUAAAAUGCAUUUCAUAGCCUGU